rnacentral:rRNA from 1 species
AACAAAAACAUGUCUUUUUGAUAAUAAUUUAAAGUCUAGCCUGCCCAAUGAUUAUUAAUUGAAUGGCCGCGGUAUUUUGACCGUGCUAAGGUAGCAUAAUAAUUAGUUUUUUAAUUGAGAACUGGUAUGAAUGGCUGGACAAAGAAAAUUCUGUCUCAAGUUUAAUUUAAUUAGAAUUUUAUUUUUAAGUUAAAAAGCUUAAAUGAUUUUAAAAGACGAGAAGACCCUAUAGAGUUUUAUAUUAUUUAUUAUAAAUAAUUUAAGGAAUUAUAUAUUUUAUAUAUUAAAUAGUAUUUUGUUGGGGUGACAAAAAAAUUAAAUAAACUUUUUUUAUAUUUUAUCAUUAAUUUAUGAUUAAGUGAUCCAUUUUUUAUGAUUAUAAGAUUAAAUUACCUUAGGGAUAACAGCGUAAUUUUUUUUGAGAGUUCAUAUCGAAAAGAAAG